AUUGAACGCUGGCGGCAUGCCUUACACAUGCAAGUCGAACGGCAGCACGGGUGCUUGCACCUGGUGGCGAGUGGCGAACGGGUGAGUAAUACAUCGGAACGUACCUUAUCGUGGGGGAUAACGCAGCGAAAGCUGUGCUAAUACCGCAUACGCCCUGAGGGGGAAAGCGGGGGAUCGCAAGACCUCGCGCGAUUAGAGCGGCCGAUGCCUGAUUAGCUUGUUGGUGGGGCAAAAGCCCACCAAGGCGACGAUCAGUAGCUGGUCUGAGAGGACGAUCAGCCACACUGGGACUGAGACACGGCCCAGACUCCUACGGGAGGCAGCAGUGGGGAAUUUUGGACAAUGGGGGCAACCCUGAUCCAGCAAUGCCGCGUGAGUGAAGAAGGCCUUCGGGUUGUAAAGCUCUUUUGUCAGGGAAGAAACACCGGCUCUAACACUGUCCGGGAAUGACGGUACCUGAAGAAUAAGCACCGGCUAACUACGUGCCAGCCGCCGCCGUAA
rnacentral:rRNA from 1 species